AGAUUCUCUUAUUCGGUGGAGGAUCCUCAGCCCCCUCCCACCCGUGUUUACUGUACCUUAGUUGCUUCGGCGGGCCCGCCAUUCAUGGCCGCCGGGGGCUCUCACCCCCGGGCCCGCGCCCGCCGGACACACCACAAACUCUGUCUGAUCUAGUGCAGUCUGAGUUGAAUGAAUCACAAUCCGUUAAAACUUUCAUCAAUGGAUCUCUUGGUUCCGGCAUCAAUGAACAACGCAUCCAAAGGCGAUCACUGGUGUGAAUUGCACAAUUCCAUGAAUCAUCUUCUCUUUGAACGCACAUUGCGCCCCCUGGUAUUCCGGGGGGCAUGCCUGUCCGAGCGUCAUUGCUGUGCAGAAAGUUUUACUUGAGUGUUAUGCCGUCAACUCCUAUCCGGGGGGAUCAAACCAGUUCGUGGCGUCUGCAGCGGGUGCGAGCCCGGAGCUGAAAAGCCCUCUGUCGGCCACUCUGGAGCCCGGCCCGACGCUACUAAAAGUACAAAUCAAUCUUGGUCGGAGGUUACCCUCGAUAAGAACCCGAAACCCGCUAAAGAUCCUUCCACAGUUUACCCUAAGGAAA
rnacentral:rRNA from 1 species